UUAAUCAUUAUUGUGUUUUGUUUAUUUUAAAAAUCGUUCAACUACAAUGGCCCAUACUCUCUGAUAUUUAUGAAAUACAUUUGCUCACAUGGUGAUGUCUGUAUUAUGACACUGUUUUCUUGUAAUGUUGGUGGUUACGAAUGAUUUGGAGGAAGAGGGUUCAUCUUGAAUAUUCAACCCUGAGGAUGGAAGUAGCAUGUUUCACCGAAGCACUAGGACCAGACUUCCAGAUUACAAUGUGAAAUCAUAAUAACAUUCGUCAAAACGGAAGGACCGAAAGACUUUGUAAUGUGGCUGCAAGUAGCCAAGUGCUUCAAAAUCUGGGACCUUGAUGUUCGAGGUUAUAACAAGAGUAUGUGGAGACUGCACAUGAAGGGCAGUGAAAUGCUUGUCAUUGGAGUGCCAAACUCAGAGUAUUCAAAAUUCAAACCUUUGAAUAUCACUCCAAUUUAUUUGGAACCUCAUUAAGAGAAGACUGAUGUCAGAUAGCUGGAGGUAACAGCGUUUAGAAGAUUCAUGGAUCCAACAUUGCCGUGAAGAUGAGCCAUCUGUGACACAGAGAUCUUAAUUUGAAGAUAGGACAUUAUUUUAAGGCUUUACCAUCUUGCCUGUGACAGUUCGUUAUGAGAAACUGUAAAAACUUUUCUUCUUAAGAUGCCAAGACUGUGUGCUGAUUUUCACUCUCCAUGAUGUGUGACAGUAAAAGGGGUGUGUACAUUGUGAAUGUGUACCAGAAUGAAAAUAUUAUUGUAGAUCCAUAGAAAGAAGUAGGUAUACCAUCUGAGUUGGAGUUACAGAUUUAGAAGUACAGUAAAUUCCUGUUUGUCUGGUAUCGAGGCAUCCAGGAUUUUCAUUCAGCUGGUAAAAAUUGCUAAGAAAAUUAUAAAGUCAUUAAAAUAAUUAAUAAUUAUGAGUGUAUUUUCACUCACUAUACAAUAGUCCUCCCAGCUUCUACUAGCAGUACUACCCAUUAUGCAGAGGCUAGUUGAAUUUGUGAUCUUGUGAAUUCAAAAUCUUUCACCUGUCAAUCUGCAUUAUUGUAUGGGAAUAGUCCAUGCAAGAAUGUGAUAUUUUGAUUAUAAAUUAGGUCUCUGCAAGAACUUUUCUCAUGAAAGAAGCAGAUUCAUGUAACUGGCAGACCCCAUUAUCUAUACAUGCCAAGUAACUGUGGUUUACUGUACUAAUUAAUAGGAUAGAUUCAUCUUCAGUAUAAAUGAAAACAUAUAAAUCAAGAUUUUGUAAUUUAAUUUUUAGUACCAAAUGUACACUUGUGGGAACAUUCAUAAGUUUCUUAGUAAAUAUGUUAACAAACCACUGAUCACUCAUGUGGCUGUGUGGGAACAGCUCUAUUUAAAUCAGUAGUGUACUAAAAUAUAUAAAAAAGUGGUAUAUCACAAACAAUCAUGGAAAAAAUUCUUAGUGAACCAUUAAUGAAUUGUGUUGCUGUGUAUAAACAGCUCCAUUUACAUCAGCGAUUCACUAUGAUGUGUCAGAAACAUGACACAACACAAAUUAACAUGGAAAAAGAGAUUUGGCCUUUCGUACAGGGUUGAGGUAAGCUAUUUGUAAUUCCCUGGCUGCAUUACUGUAGUCAAAUGAGACCUCUAUCAAGAAUUUGUAAGAUUUGUAAUGCUUUGUUUAAUUUGUAAACUCUCUGAAGCUCUUAUCACAUCAGAAAGUGGCAUAUCUUCCUCUUUGUUCUGGAAUACAUGAGUAUGAACAAAUAUGUUCACACUCAUGUAGAUACUGACUGACAUUGAACCAUAUCUGCGACUUUGAGUAGUGAUGUUUGUUAGAGAAGGAAUGUUACUGUGAAACUGCUGAAGAAUCCUGUAAGUUUGUACUUCUCAACCUGUUUCAUGUUGUAACACAAGUGGAUAUUGCUUUGUUCACAAGGAUGAAAUCCAGGAAAAACUACCAUCUUAUAUUUUCUGCAGUUUUGUGAAAUAUGAAUAUACAGCUGCUUCAAGAGUAUGAUUUUUCAGGAAAUAAAUUUUAUUUUCAUAUUGAA